UUGGAGGUAAACAUCUUCUAAAGCUAAAUAUGAAUGGGAAUCCGAUAGCGAACAAGUACUGCGAAGGAAAGAUGAGAAGAACUUUGAAAAGAGAGUUACAAGACUUGAAAUCGUUGAGAAGGAAGCGGUAGAGAUCCAUUAUUUGACGAUUCUAAAAUACAGUUGUUUGAUUGAAACUUCAGGUAAUCUUGGAGCGAAUAAUCAGGGAAUUGUAAUGUAUGGAGUAAUCAAAACAUAGGAUGAAAUCACGGCUCAUUAAUCGCUUGCGAAAUGGGCGUUGGUUUGAGGGGUCUUCGGACGAUCCUGUGACAAUGGUCUUUACCGUCCCGUCUUGAAACACGGACCAAGGAGUCUAGCAUAUAUGCGAGUGUGCUGGUUUGAAACCGAUACGCGAAAUUAACGUAAAAUGUGCUAGCGAAAGCGCAGCAUAGGCCGACAUCGGGCUAUAGCCCGAGGAUUGAGCAAGAGCAUAUCUGUUAGGACCCGAAAGAUGGUGAACUAUGCCUGUGUAGGGAGAAGUCAGGGGAAACCCUGAUGGAGGCUCGUAGCGAUACUGACGUGCAAAUCGUUCGCCGAACAUGGGUAUAGGGGCGAAAGACUAAUCGAACUAUCUAGUAGCUGGUUCCUUCCGAAGUUUCCCUCAGGAUAGCUGGAACUUUAUUGCAGUUGCACUUGGUAAAGCGAAUGAUUAGAGGCCUCAGGGAGUUUUUAUCCUUGACCUAUUCUCAAACUUUAAAUGGGUGCGAUCUAGCUGUUUUCUUAAUUGAACAGUUAGGUACAAUGCAGGUUCUUAGUGGGCCGUUUUUGGUAAGCAGAACUGGCGAUGAGGGAUGAACCUAACGUUGAGUUAAGGUGCCAAACUAUACGCUCAUCAGAAACCACAAAAGGUGUUGAUUUAUUUAGACAGCAGGGCGGUGGCCAUAGAAGUCGGCAUCCGCUAAGGAGUGUGUUACAACUCACCUGCCGAAUGAAUCAGCCCUGACAAUUGAUGGCGCUUCAGCGUAUGACCGAUACUCAACCCAUGGCCUAAAAAUAUAAGCUAUGGUGUAGGAAGGCGUGGUUGUUGUGUUGAAGUUUUCACGUGAGUGAGAAUCGAACAGCAGCUAGUGCAGAUCUUGGUGGUAGUAGCAAUUAUUCAAAUGAGAUCUUUGAAGGCCGACGAGGAGAAGGUUUCCAUGAGAACAGCACUUGGUCAUGGGUGACUCGAUCCUAAGGCAUUGGGGAAUUCCUUGACAAUGGCGGGCAACUGCCGUAGCCAAAAGGGAAUGAGGUUAAUAUUCCUCAAGCAUUGAGUGGGUUCAGUAUGGCAACAUAAAUUUGCUCAAAGACACCAGUGUGAGCCCCUGGAAGAGUUUUCUUUUCUUUUUAACAGUCGAGCAGCCUUGAAAUUGGAUUAACCAGAGCUAAGGCAGCUUUACUGGAAGAGCCCUUUAGUUAUUGAAGGGUCAUGGUGCGUCCACAAUGGUCCAUGAAAAUUUGAGCAAUGAAUAACUUCACUCAAGAUCGUACCGGAAUCCGCAUCAGGUCUCCAAGGUGAGUAGCCUCUGGCCGAAUGGAAUAAUGUAGAUAAGGGAAAUCGGAAAAAUGGAUCCGUAACUUCGGGAGAAGGAUUGGCUCUGAGGAUUGAGUGCAACAGACCAUUCAGAAACAGGAGUAUCUGGUAAGGUUGUGAGGCAACGAGUGACUGAACUAGACGGCUCCUGCGGAAGGUGUCACCUGGUGCAUAACUAACAAUCAACUCAGAACUGGAGCGGACAAAGGGAAUCCGACUGUUUAAUUAAAACACAGCAUUGUGAUGGCCGGAAACAGUGUUGACACAAUGUGAUUUCUGCCCAGUGCUAUGAAUGUCAAAGUGAAGAAAUUCAACCAAGCUCUGGUAAACGGCGGGAGUAACUAUGACUCUCUUAAGGUAGCCAAAUGCCUUGUCAUCUAAUUAGUGACGCGCAUGAAUGGAUUAACGAGAUUCCCACUGUCCCUAUCUACUAUCUAGCGAACCCACAGCUAAGGGAACGGGCUUAGCGCAAUCAGCGGGGAAAGAAGACCCUAUUGAGUUUGACUCUAGUCCGACUUUGUGAAAUAACCUAGGGGAUGUAGCAUAGGUGGGAGGGCAACCAAUCUGAAAUACCACUGCCUCUAGCGCUAUUUUACUUAAUCUCUCAUUUAGGUACCUCAUUGAGGUUCUUGCACCAAAAUCAUUUAUUGAUUGAACUAGGGGGAUGACAAAGUCAGGUGGGGAGUUUGGCUGGGGCGGCACAUCCAUUAAACGGUAACGUGGGUGCCCUAGGUUGAGCUCAAAGAGAACAGAAAUCUCUUGUAGACCGAAAAGGGAAAAGCUCAAUUGAACUUGAUUUUCAGUACUAAUACAGUAUGUGAAAGCACGGCCUAUCGAUCCUUUGAUUUAGAAUGUUUCUUGCCAGAGGUGUCAGAAAAAUUACCAUAGGGAUAACUGGCUUGUGGCAGCCAAGCGUUCAUAGCGACGUUGCCGUUUGAUCCUUCGAUGUCGGCUCUUCCUAUCAUCAAGAAGCAGAAUUCUUGAAGUGUUGGAUUGUUCACCCGUCAAUAGGGAACGUGAGCUGGGUUUAGACCGUCGUGAGACAGGUUAGUUUUACCCUACUGAUGAAUCGAUGUUGCUUCAGUAAUUCAACUUAGUACGAGAGGAACAGUUGGGUCAGAUUAUUGGUUUAUGCAGUUGGUUGAACAGCCAGCGCUGCGAAGCUACCAUCUGUUGAGAUUAUGACUGAACGCCUCUAAGUCAGAAUCCAUUCUGCUAUGCAACGUUUCAUUCAAUAAUAGACGAAAAAGAUUAGAAUCUUAAUUCCCACAUGAGCAGUCCGCUCUGAUCAUGUAACUUGGUUAGAGUGAUGCUUGAAUAACAAUUUCGAUUAUUAUUGAACCUAAUCGUUUGUAGACGACUUAAUUUGGACGGGGUAUUGUCAGCAUUAGAGUAAGAUUCCUUACGAUAUGUUGAGAUUCUUCCCCUUUCCAACGAUUAGUCCCUUCAUCCCCU
rnacentral:rRNA from 1 species